UGGGGAAUAUUGGACAAUGGGCGCAAGCCUGAUCCAGCCAUGCCGCGUGAGUGAUGAAGGCCCUAGGGUUGUAAAGCUCUUUCACCGGUGAAGAUAAUGACGGUAACCGGAGAAGAAGCCCCGCUAACUUCGUGCCAGCAGCCGCGGUAAUACGAAGGGGGCUAGCGUUGUUCGGAUUUACUGGGCGUAAAGCGCACGUAGGCGGACUUUUAAGUCAGGGGUGAAAUCCCGGGGCUCAACCCCGGAACUGCCUUUGAUACUGGAAGUCUUGAGUAUGGUAGAGGUGAGUGGAAUUCCGAGUGUAGAGGUGAAAUUCGUAGAUAUUCGGAGGAACACCAGUGGCGAAGGCGGCUCACUGGACCAUUACUGACGCUGAGGUGCGAAAGCGUGGGGAGCAAACAGG
rnacentral:rRNA from 1 species